rnacentral:misc_RNA from 1 species
GAUGAAGAACGUAGCGAAAUGCGAUAAGUAAUGUGAAUUGCAGAAUUCAGUGAAUCAUCGAAUCUUUGAACGCACAUUGCGCCCGCCAGUAUUCUGGCGGGCAUGCCUGUUCGAGCGUCAUUUCAACCAUCAAGCCCCCGGGCUUGCGUUGGGGCCCUGCGGCUGCCGCAGGCCCCUAAAAGCAGUGGCGGGCUCGCUGUCACACCGAGCGCAGUAGCGAUAUUCGCUCCGGGCGUCGGCGGCGGGCACCGGCCGUGAAUCCCCCCAUUUCUCAAGGUUGACCUCGGAUCAGGUAGGAAUACCCGCUGAACUUAAGCAUAUCAAUAAGCGGAGGA